CAGCCGCCACGGGAAUACGUAGGUGGCAAGCGUUGUCCGGAAUUAUUGGGCGUAAAGGGCUCGCAGGCGAUUCCUUAAGUCUGAUGAGAAAGCCCCCGGCUCAACCGGGGAGGGUCAUUGGAAACUGGGAAACUCGAGUGCAGAAGAGGAGAGUGGAAUUCCACGUGUAGCGGUGAAAUGCGUAGAGAUGUGGAGGAACACCAGUGGCGAAGGCGACUCUCUGGUCUGUAACUGACGCUGAGGAGCGAAAGCGUGGGGAGCGAACAGGAUUAGAUACCCCCGUAGUCCCUGUCCUCUUAUA
rnacentral:rRNA from 1 species